CGGAGCAUAGCUCAGCCUGGUAGAGCGCAGCCUUCGGGAGGCUGAGGCCGGAGGUUCGAAUCCUCUUGCUCCGACCA
rnacentral:tRNA from 1 species